GGCCUCGUGGUGUAAGAGGGAACACACUUCUUCAGCACGUACUUCUGAACAAACAAUUUAGAUGAGAGCAAGGUUGAAAGGUCGUGGGUUCAAAUCCCACCUGGGCUA